UACGUAGGGGGCAAGCGUUGUCCGGAUUUAUUGGGCGUAAAGAGCGUGUAGGCGGCCUUACAGGUCAGCUGUGAAAACUCGAGGCUCAACCUCGAGACGUCGGUUGAAACCGUAAGGCUAGAGUCCGGAAGAGGAGAGUGGAAUUCCCGGUGUAGCGGUGAAAUGCGCAGAUAUCAGGAGAACACCGGUGGCGAAGGCGGGUCUCUGGCGGACUGACCUG
rnacentral:rRNA from 1 species